GCCAGCCCCAUCACCACCGCUCCGCCGCUGCCGCUCGCCCCCUCCUCCUCCUCCUCCUCCUCCUCGUCCUCCUCCUUCACCUCCAUAUCCAUCUCCUCGUCCGCCUCCUCGCUGGUCCCUCCUAGCUUCUCCAUUUCCUGAGCCAUCCCCUUCGCGUGACCCCUUUUCUCCGGUAUUACAAGCCUAACCCUUGCUCCCACGCCUUUUCCAUUUCUAGAAAAAAGGGCUACUAGUUGAGAUCUCGCUCCUUUCUUCAAAAGGCGCGUCCUCUCCGACGGAAUUGGUACCUCCGGUGGGGAUUCGAGGCGGCGCUCCGGUCUCCUCCGGCGAUCCGGGCGGCCGGCAAGAUGGAAGCCGGGUCUGAGUAACUGCUGACCCGGAGCCGACCCUCCGGCGAGGUCCUGGGCGGAGAUUAGGCGGGGUUGGUCGCUCCUGCGGGUUCCUCCGGCGGCGGUCCGGCCGGUUCGCGUGUGGGGUUUGGGGGCCGCUAGGGUUUCGCUCGUGUGCGGCGCGUGUUGUGGUUUAUCUUUAGCACGCCUGGCGCGAGGGUGGGAAGGGUAGGGACACGUGCAGCACGUGCGAACUGCAGGGUUUGGUGACCUCUCGCGAGUAGUCGCUUGGGGGAAGCCGUGGCUCGCACGGGGGUUAAUAAAUUUAUCUGUUUAGUAUACUCUAAAAGAAAUGUCUAAUAUUUAUUGAGACUGUGAUUUUUACUAUUUUAUACUAGAGUAGAAGUCUGUUUCUCGGCAA